GACAGAGGGUGCAAACGUUGUUCGGAUUUACUGGGCGUAAAGCGCGUGUAGGCGGCUUGGCAAGUUGGAUGUGAAAGCCCACGGCUCAACCGUGGAAGCGCAUCCAAAACUGCUCGCUCGAGUCUCGGAGAGGAAGGUGGAAUGCUUGGUGUAGAGGUGAAAUUCGUAGAUAUCAAGCAGAACACCUGCGGCGAAGGCGGCCUUCUGGACGACUGACGUGACGCUGAGACGCGAAAGCGUGGGGAGCAAACAGG
rnacentral:rRNA from 1 species